UGGCAACUUACCUGAAGAUCCUCUUAACGAAGCACUAGAGCUUACGCCUCACAUCCAAGGACUCUUAAAUAAUUUAUUACUUCUCUACUCCGAAACUAAGAACGAUUUAGCAAAUAAUUACAAAAGUGUCACCAGACGAGACUUAGUCAUUGUAAGAAGGACAAGAUCGGGCACUCAAGACUCAACCAUGGUUAUCUAAUUUCUUCUACCGCCAGACCCAUUUGCACCAGCUGUAGUUCCAAUUUGACGAUAAAACACAUAUUGACUGAAUGCCACAAAUAUGCCCCCCAUACCCAAGACCGCAGAUCCAGUUCAAGACCAAUUUCAAAGACAUCCUGAAUGACAAGGAGUUAAUCUCUUUCAAUUUCUAAGGGAUAUGAAUUUUUACCAUAAAAUAUAGAACAAUUAUAUAUUGAUAAUGUGUUAAUGUGUGUAUGUAUUAAUAUAAUUGUAAUUGCACCUGUGUAAGUGGCCUUAGUAGCCGAUCACGUUAAAUAUGAAUGAAAAAAAAACUUUUAGUACGGUCAGUUAUUCACGUUACGUCAAUUAAAUCAUUGCCUCUUUUUACGAAAAUACUGUCAACAACUUUCAUUUCUAUUGAUAGAAUAAGAUAUUAUGUGGAAAAUAUGUGUUUCAUAAAUAGGUUGAGUCACGUGAUGGAAAACCUCCACCGUUUCUACUAUAGAGAAACAAAAGUAAACUUCAAUUCUAUCUACUCAAACCCUAGAUUUUUACACUAGUAACAAGAGCACGGAAACAUUUGAAUUUGUAAUAACUGUAAAUGCGGGUUGUCAUUGCGCGAAAUGAGUCUCUCCUUCGUAUUCACCCCGAAACUAGUUUCGCGAGUAUGUUUCAAAGUGAGUCAACAACAGUCGGUUUUCGAUCGCGCAUCAAACAGCUUCGCCUUUCGUGUUGACGCCAGCGUAUAUAUCCACCAUGUGUGUCGCGCUAAAAAUGGAUCAGGCUGCACUAGUCCGCACAAACUGACGGCUUACGCUAUCUUCGCCUAGAAUCCGAAAUGUUUCGUCCAGUCCCCCGAAGACAUUCUCGCGAAACAGUUCGCGUAGUGACACCCCGUCUUAAAAAAAGGGUCUGGAAGUUAAACAUUGCGAAAAAUGGAAAUCCGAUGGAAGGAGGCCUAAACUAAAAAAUGAAACAAUAGAAAGACAAGAAAAUAAAUUCAAUGACCAUCAUCAAUCAUAUGAGUGGCUUAACACUUGAAGACGGUACCGAGAAAAGCACGUUCCACUUUAUGAUAUACAAGUUUAGGACUUUUUUGAUAGUUCGUUUGUGGUUGGGCCAAAAUAUUUAUAUUUAUAAUCACAAUAAGCCAAAUCAAGUUCAAUUUUUGACAUACACAUUCAGAAACUUUAUUAGUCACUAGACAUCACGAAUUGUGUAUUAACAGGUGAAUAGGGAAAUAAAUGAAUAAUGACAACUA